UACGGGGGGGGCAAGCGUUGUUCGGAAUUACUGGGCGUAAAGGGCUCGUAGGUGGCCAACUAAGUCAGACGUGAAAUCCCUCAGCUUAACUGGGGAACUGCGUCUGAUACUGGAUGGCUUGAGUUUGGGAGAGGGAUGCGGAAUUCCAGGUGUAGCGGUGAAAUGCGUAGAUAUCCGGAGGAACACCAGUGGCGAAGGCGGCUCACUGGCUCGGUACUGACGCUGAGGUGCGAAAGCGUGGGGAGCAAACAGG
rnacentral:rRNA from 1 species